AUCAGCGGCCCCUGGAACUCAAACGCGGGGAGAUCAACAAUAUUAGAUAAAACAACUGAUGAAUAAAACAUACAGAAAGACAGACGAAUGAAGACGAGCAGCACAGGGUCUCCUAUUAGUAACAGAAGAUGAUCUUAGACUGAUGACACAGAACAACCAUCAUAAAUCAAAUACAGAAACAGCAGCAGAUAAUACAGCCUGAGAAAGAGAGUAACUCUACAGUAACGACUGGCACUAUGAGCCGUAAGCUCUCUCUGGCCUCAUCUCUUGACCUGGUCAAACCCACCACUGACCUCUUCCGUCACAGCAUUGUGCCGCAGCU